rnacentral:hammerhead_ribozyme from 1 species
GUAUUACUGAAGGGUCUCAAACUGGGACGAAACAGCUGUCCAGUAC